UCUGUCCGAGCGUCUGCCAACCACAAGUCCUCGCCACAUGCGGGGAGAUUGGGGAACUGCGGUGUCUCCUCGGCGGUGAUGCCACACUCCCUGAAGAAUCGAAGACCGGUGUGGUCGCCCGCCGUACGAGUCGGCCGGUGACAACGGUGAACAGUGUUGUCACGUCGAGUUCGUGGCGUGCGGGAGGCAGUGCAGGUCGCGUACCAUCAGGUCGUGCUUUGUCAGCCAAUCUAGACCUCGGAUCAGGCCAGGCUACCCGCUGAAUUUAAGCAUAUCAAUAAGCGGAGGAAAAGAAACUAACAAGGAUUCCCUUAGUAACGGCGAGCGAAGCGGGAAUAGCUCAAAUUUGAAAUCUCCGGUGCUUGCACUGGCGAAUUGUAGUCUGUAGGGCCAGUUUCGCCUGACGCAGUGUCCCCAAAGUCGUCCUGGAAAGGCGGGCCAGAGAGGGUGAGAGCCCCGUGUGCGGGGGCACCGCGGAAGGUAAGAUCUGUGCCCGAAGAGUCGGGUUGUUUGGGAUUGCAGCCCAAAAUGGGUGGUAAACUCCAUCUAAAGCUAAAUACUGGCACGAGACCGAUAGCGAACA
rnacentral:rRNA from 1 species